CCUACGGGCGGCAGCAGUGGGGAAUAUUGGGCAAUGGGCGCAAGCCUGACCCAGCAACGCCGCGUGAAGGAAGAAGGCUUUCGGGUUGUCAACUUCUUUUCUCAGGGACGAAGCAAGUGACGGUACUUGAGGAAUAAGCCACGGCUAACUACGUGCCAGCAGCAGCGGUAAUACGUAGGUGGCAAGCGUUAUCCGGAUUUACUGGGUGUAAAGGGUGUGUAGGCGGCAAAGCAAGUCAGAUGUGAAAACCAUGGGCUCAACCAGUGACUUGCAGUUGACACUGUUUUUCUUGAGUAUUGGUGAGGCAGGCGGAAUGCGUGGUGUAGCGGUGAAAUGCGUAGAUAUUAGGAGGAACACCAGUGGCGAAGGCGGUCUGCUAGGCAACGACUGACGCUGAUGCACGAAAGCGUGGGGAGCAAACAGGAUUAGAUACCCUAGUAGUC
rnacentral:rRNA from 1 species